UUUAUUGGAGAGUUUGAUCCUGGCUCAGGAUGAACGCUGGCGGCGUGCCUAAUACAUGCAAGUCGAGCGAAUGGAUUAAGAGCUUGCUCUUAUGAAGUUAGCGGCGGACGGGUGAGU
rnacentral:rRNA from 1 species